rnacentral:rRNA from 1 species
GACGAACGCUGACGGCGUGCUUAACACAUGCAAGUCGAAGGUAGUGGCGAACGGGUGAGUUACACGUGUGUACCCUGCCCCUUUCUUUGGGAUAAGCCUGGGACACUGUGUCUAAUACUGGAUGGGUUGGGGUGGGGUCGCGGCUUAUCAGCUUGGUGGUGGGGUGGUGGCUCACCGAGGCGUUGACGGGUAGCCGGCCUGAGGGGGUGGUCGGCCACAUUGGGACUGAGAUACGGCCCAGAGUCCUACGGGAGGCAGCAGUGGGGGAUAUUGCACAAUGGGCGAAAGCCUGAUGCAGCGACGCCGCGGGGGGGAUGAAGGCUUUCGGGUUGUAAACCUCUUUCGCUAUCGAACGGGUAGGUGGAGAAGAAGCGCCGGCUAACUACGUGCCAGCAGCCGCGGUAAUUC